rfam:Oryza sativa (indica cultivar-group) chromosome 2, whole genome shotgun sequence.
AAUAAACCCUGGUUUCGUGCCAAACGUUUAACCGUCCAUCUUAUUUGAAAAAAUUAUGAAAAAAAAUUAGAAAGACAAGUCACACACAAAGUAUUAAUCAUGUUUUAUCAUCUAAUAACAAUAAAAAUACGAAUUAUAAAAAUUUUCAUAUAAGACGGACAGUCAAAGUUGUACACAGAAAUUCAGUGUUUGCUUUUUU